rnacentral:rRNA from 1 species
UGCUUAACACAUGCAAGUCGAACGGAAACGAAACUAGCUUGCUAGUUGGCGUCGAGUGGCGGACGGGUGAGUAACGCGUAGGAAUCUACCUAGUAGUGGGGGAUAGCCCGAAGAAAUUCGGAUUAAUACCGCAUAAUCUAUUCGUAGUAAAGUGGGGGACUUUCGAGCCUCACGCUAUUAGAUGAGCCUGCGUAAGAUUAGCUUGUUGGUAGGGUAAAAGCCUACCAAGGCUACGAUCUUUAGCUGGUCUGAGAGGAUGAUCAGCCACAUCGGGACUGAGACACGGCCCGAACUCCUACGGGAGGCAGCAGUGGGGAAUAUUGGACAAUGGGGGCAACCCUGAUCCAGCAAUACCGCGUGUGUGAAGAAGGCCUGAGGGUUGUAAAGCACUUUCAAUUGUGAAGAAAAGUUAACGGUUAAUAACCGUUAGCCUUGACGUUAACUUUAGAAGAAGCACCG